UACGGAGGGUGCAAGCGUUAAUCGGAAUUACUGGGCGUAAAGCGUGCGCAGGCGGUUUGUUAAGUCUGUUGUGAAAUCCCCGAGCUCAACUUGGGAAUUGCAAUGGAUACUGGCAAGCUGGAGUAUGGUAGAGGAAGGUGGAAUUCCCGGUGUAGCAGUGAAAUGCGUAGAGAUCGGGAGGAACACCAGUGGCGAAGGCGGCCUUCUGGACCAAUACUGACGCUCAUGCACGAAAGCGUGGGGAGCAAACAGG
rnacentral:rRNA from 1 species